AUGCCCUCCGGGAAGCACAAUGCCGAUGGUGGGGCGUGCCCGGCCGCACGCUGGAGGCCGUCCUCGAGUACAUCGAGGGCGGCAACACGCCGAGGCUGGAGUACCCCGCUCCCCCCACCUUCUCCCGCCGGUGUGGGAGCUCCUGGACGCCAAGACGCAUGGACCCGACCUCCUCCUCCUCGUCUGGCCGCUCGUCCAGUUCUCCCUCCCUCCUCCCUGUCAAGCUGGAGCCCCAGGACGCGUCGAUCAGCCGGCGCACCUGCAGCUGCGGCGUCCGCAUCACCGAGUCCUCCCCCACCUCUGCCCGGCUCGUUAGGCCGAAGGUGGAGUUCGGCCUCCCCGCGGAGUACGAGGCCAUAG
rnacentral:rRNA from 1 species